CUCAUGUCUGUCUCUCUAAGUAUCUCCAUCACUUCAAUCCUUUUCUCUCUCUUUUUUUUUUUUAAUAUCCAUUUACGAUUGAUUGAUUGAUUAAUUAAUUAAUUUAUAAUUGCUGAUCUUUCUCUUUCUUCCAAGUCUCUUUUCUUUGUGGCGUUUCUUUUUCUCUGUCCCUCUCUCUUUUAUUUUUGUUGGGAGUAAAAUCUACAUGGUGUCAGCUUCUGGUUUUGCAGGGACAUACAGGCAUAGAGAGAGAGAGAGAGAG
rnacentral:misc_RNA from 1 species